UGUAAGUUUGAAACAUAAAUCUGCCAUGAACUUGACAAGGGAUGUGCUCACAGCUGCCACUUAAGGAACAGCAUGGGCAUGCUUGUGUCAUGUGACCUGGAUUUUUUGUUAUUUUUCGCAGGUGCUGGUCAGUGAAGGCAGGGGAUGGUAUCUGGGUUGGGAGCGGGGCAUGUAGCUCCACCGGUGUUGGUGUUUGGAUGCAAGGAGGAGCAGGAUUUUUAGUGUUACAGUGAAUGCAUCGGUCCAGAAUAAGAGUGUGAUCAUUUGGAAGAACCAAGAAGACUUAACAAGACUGUCGGGGCGAGUGCUGUUCGCGAUCACCUACGGAGGCCGGCACGGCACACAAAGAGGUUGUGUGGCCAGCACCAUGCCCGGUCACCUUUGUCUCCCGAGUGGUGAUGUUUACACGUUGCACCAAGUACCCAUUUAAGGCCAAGUCGAUCUAUGGGAUGCUACGGACUGGUUCGGAUAAUCGUCACCGUUGUUGAUUAUUAGUGGGUAUUGAACAUGGGUUUCUGGGUUCAUUGGGCAGCGUGCUAACCGCUGCACUCCCACUCUCCACACAACAUUAACACACACACACGCCAUGCACGCAAAGUGUGCGUGUGUCCGUUUAAAAUAGCAAAUAGUUGCAAAAUAAACACGUUAUUAACGUGCAGCGAAAUUUGCAUUUCAUUAAAUGUAUUGCCAUAAUUGUAUUUUGUAUCCCCACGUAAUCAACACUAUGGAAACAGCACUUUACAUUUACGUGCCAGACCCAUUGGUUACGAAUGAAUAAUAAGUGACAAUGCAGAAGCAGAGUUGACCUCAAGGACCUCUCCCCAAUCGAGGUGUUAUAUCACGUCAUUCUUACGUACGGACCAAGUUUAUUUUAGAUUGUCCUAAUGUCCAGUCAGUAAGCCUUACCUUGGAUAUCCAUAUAGAGUGGUCUUUCACUCGACUAUCUAGCAAUUGUCUGCAGUGCCCUGCGCUUUAAGCUGCUUAGUGUUGUGCAUGCCAUAUCAAGUGUAAGUAGAGAACAGUUUUAGCUGAAAAUGGUUUUCAUGCCUGGCUUAUGUACACAUAUAUUUUGGAUGAGAGCACAAUGCUCGUAGCAUAAUGGAAUCAAACAACCACCAGAGGGGAAUGAGUUGCAGUCGUGCCUCCAUGGGCUGGAUUUAAACGUAAGGUCUCCUGGGAAGUUAGGAAAUCAUGCUCUGGAACAAGAGGGGUAGCUCACUGAGGCAUCCAACUGCAGUGUUUUGUACUUUAAUUGCACGAAACGUGUAUCCGUCGCCUCAAAUACUGGCGUCAACAUUUUAGUCACAAACAAUGUGGAUGUCAUUCUAACUGUAUUUUUUGCUUUGCUCUGGCAGAGAACGGUAAUAGAAUACUAACUUUCUCCCAGGCAUUCCGCCAGCGUGAGAAUCCGAAACUUCAAAUAAGUCACCGCUAAUCAUCACUUUGGAUAAACUACUCUACCGUUGGCCAUACACAUUUGUAAGACAUUCUUUACGGAAUAAUACGUUUCCGUCGCUAUUGAUCCAUCACGUGAUGGCAACGUUUUGACACGGUUAUUGAGAGCUCCUUUCUCGAGCGUUUUUGAAGGGACGCGAUUGCAUGCCUGAAUCGUGAGAGCACGCCACUGUGUCGCUUUGUUCCCUCCAUAAUAUAUAUAAUAUAUGCAUUGUAAGGGCAGCACAUCACGCUCACGCAUGACACGACUCGUGGGAAGAUGUGUCUUGCCCGCAAUCUCGUGGAUGGCAAGUGAUCGAUGCCGUAGCAUUGUGUCGACGGGAAGCCGCUGAUUUAUUUUUGGAUGUCCUUUCUUUUUUAAACUGCGAUUUGUG